AGGGGAUCUUCCUAACCCAGGGAUUGAACCCAGGUCUCCUGCAUUGCAGGCAGAUGCUUUAACCUCUGAGCCACCUAAAGAGGCCAGGGGCGGCGGCCGGGAGGAGCAACCCCAUGUCCGAGGAGCAGUGGCUGCACAGGCACAGGAGGGCCUAAAGGAGCUAUCCCACGUUGAAGGUCAGGAAGGGCAGCAGUGAGGAGAUACCACUCAUCCAAGAAACUAUAUUCCUCUAUCAGAAGUAGAUGAUACCAUUUUCCAGUCUGAAAUUAUAAGCCAGUACACCUCUAGGCAUUUCUCAAUGGAGAAACUGAAAGGGGAUCUUCCCAACCCAGAGAUCGAACCAGGGUCUCCCUCAUUGGAGGCAGACACUUUAACCUCUGAGCCACCAGGAAAAUGGUCAUGUGAGGACACAGUGAGAAAGUCUGCAAACCAAGAAGAGGAUUCUCACUAGAAACCACCCCUGACAGUUCCUUGAUCUUGGACUUGUGGCCUCCAGAAC
ensembl:lncRNA